rnacentral:rRNA from 1 species
AUGAGAAUAAUAGGUUGGAACUGCCGGGGACUCGGAAAUGGCCCGACAGUUUGCAGUCUCCUCGAGUUGGGGAGGUCAGAAGAUCCGGAUGUUUUAUUUUUGUGUGAGACAAAACUAUUUGAGAAGGAAUUCGAGAGGUUCAGGUGGAUGUUGGGGCUCGCCAACAUGUGUGCAUGGAGUUCUAAAGGACGGAGUAGGGGAGUAGUGAUGUUUUGGAGACAUGGAAUAAACAUUACUUUGCGGUCAUAUGGUAGGAGACAUGUGGAUGUCGAUGUCAAUGAUGACAAUGGGGGUGUGUGGAGGCUGACCGGUAUGUACGGAGAGGAAGGGAGAGACAUGGAGGACUCUGAGGAUCUUAAAACAGCAACACCAAGAUGGUAG